rnacentral:rRNA from 1 species
AUUGAACGCUGGCGGCAGGCCUAACACAUACAAGUCGAACGGUAACAGGAAGCAGCUUGCUGCUUUGCUGACGAGUGGCGGACGGGUGAGUAAUGUCUGGGAAACUGCCCGAUGGAGGGGGAUAACUACUGGAAACGGUAGCUAAUACCGCAUAAUGUCGCAAGACCAAAGAGGGGGACCUUCGGGCCUCUUGCCAUCGGAUGUGCCCAGAUGGGAUUAGCUUGUUGGUGAGGUAACGGCUCACCAAGGCGACGAUCCCUAGCUGGUCUGAGAGGAUGACCAGACACACUGGAACUGAGACACGGUCCAGACUCCGACGGGAGGCAGCAGUGGGGAAUAUUGCACAAUGGGCGCAAGCCUGAUGCAGCCAUGCCGCGUGUAUGAAGAAGGCCUUCGGGUUGUAAAGUACUUUCAGCGGGGAGGAAGGGGUUAAGGUUAAUAACCUCAGCAAUUGACGUUACUCGCAGAAGAAGCACCGGCUAACUCCGUGCCAGCAGCCGCAGUAA